CACGCAGGCGGUCUGUCAAGUCGGAUGUGAAAUCCCCGGGCUCAACCUGGGAACUGCAUUCGAAACUGGCAGGCUAGAGUCUUGUAGAGGGGGGUAGAAUUCCAUGUGUAGCGGUGAAAUGCGUAGAUAUAUGGAGGAACACCGGUGGCGAAAGCGGCUCUCUGGUCUGUAACUGACACUGAGGCUCGAAAGCGUGGGAGCAAACA
rnacentral:rRNA from 1 species